rnacentral:rRNA from 1 species
ACACAUGCAGUCGAGCGGAUGAAGAGAGCUUGCUCUCUGAUUCAGCGGCGGACGGGUGAGUAAUGCCUAGGAAUCUGCCUGAUAGUGGGGGACAACGUUUCGAAAGGAACGCUAAUACCGCAUACGUCCUACGGGAGAAAGCAGGGGACCUUCGGGCCUUGCGCUAUCAGAUGAGCCUAGGUCGGAUUAGCUAGUUGGUGAGGUAACGGCUCACCAAGGCGACGAUCCGUAACUGGUCUGAGAGGAUGAUCAGUCACACUGGAACUGAGACACGGUCCAGACUCCUACGGGAGGCAGCAGUGGGGAAUAUUGGACAAUGGGCGAAAGCCUGAUCCAGCCAUGCCGCGUGUGUGAAGAAGGUCUUCGGAUUGUAAAGCACUUUAAGUUGGGAGGAAGGGCAUUAACCUAAUACGUUAGUGUUUUGACGUUACCGACAGAAUAAGCACCGGCUAACUUCGUGCCAGCAGCCGCGGUAAUACGAAGGGUGCAAGCGUUAAUCGGAAUUACUGGGCGUAAAGCGCGCGUAGGUGGUUUGUUAAGUUGAAUGUGAAAGCCCCGGGCUCAACCUGGGAACUGCAUCCAAAACUGGCAAGCUAGAGUAUGGCAGAGGGUGGUGGAAUUUCCUGUGUAGCGGNGGAAAUGCGUAGAUAUAGGAAGGAACACCAGUGGCGAAGGCGACCACCUGGGCUAAUACUGACCACUGAGGUGCCGAAAGCGUGGGGAGCAAACAGGAUUAGAUACCCCUGGUAGUUCCACGCCGUAAACGAUGUCGACUAGCCGUUGGGAUCCUUGAAGAUCUUAGUGGCGCAGCUAACGCAUUAAGUCGACGCCCUGGGGAGUACGGCCGCAAGGUUAAAACUCAAUGAAUUGACGGGGGCCCGCACAGCGGUGGAGCAUGGUGGUUUAAUUCGAAGCAACGCGAGAACCUUACCAGGCCUUGACAUGCAGAGACUUUCAGAGAAUGGAUUGGUGUCUU